UUUCCGAAUUAGAAAAUGAUUAUUUUUCAAAAAUUUCAAAAGUUUUUGAAGAUUAUAAUUCAAAAAUUGUAGAAGGUGCAAGCUCUUCAUCAAAAAU
rnacentral:tRNA from 1 species